ensembl:lncRNA
GAAAUAGGCUUUUUACUUUUCUACUCUGAACUGAUAGGGAAAAUCACCUCGUUACUGUGUCUUUCAGAAGUGGACUGACUUUCUUGAAGCUGAAUGUGGUUUGGACAGUUACAUUCUUUCCAUGAUGGCAUGGAGUCAGCUUCUUUGAUGAGGAUUAGCAUAUAAAGCCAGAGAAACAUUUUACUUCCUGAAAAGCCUGGAAAUUCAGCUUUAAAUUGUUUUGUUUGUUUCUGUUUACCAAUGGUAUUCUCCUUCUAAAAGAGAAGCCCACAUCUCCCCAAAAUGAAAUCACUGCUGUGUCAAGUGAGCUAAAAUGAGAACCACAUGAAGAUAAGAUAGAUUUUUAUCAUGCUGCUACACUUUUUCAGAUUUUAUGCCUUCCCUGAUGCUGGAAUCAGAAAUUUACAACUAAUCAGCUUUAUUCCACGACUGAGGGAUAAAGAAUUGCAAAAUAUUUUAGGUGAAGAAGAUCCUAUUAAUUCUUCAUAUAUUUUCUGAUCUUAAAUAUAUUCAGCCAAAAAAAUUAAGAAUGGAACUUUACAACCUUAAAUAAUAUGAAAACCUGUCCAAAUCAAUUUCUGAUUCAUGUCUUUAUAAGAAGAGUCACCAGAAUGGAUGUUCACAAAGAAAAUACUACAUGAGGACACAACAAGAAAAUAAUUAUUUGCAAGUCAAGCAAAGAGGACUGAGGAGAAACAAAACUUGGUGCUCCUCAACUUUUACUAUCAGCCAUAAGAACUACUGUGGGAGAUAAGCAGUUUCCUCCAUUGUGUGCUCACCACCAUGAUGCACUGCUUUAUCAUAGGACUAAAGCACUGCACUAAGUAUAGAGGAUGAAAACCAACAUUGUUCCUGAUCUAAAAGAUUAUGAUGCCUUUGAGUAAAGGGAAUGAGUAAAAGGAUGGAAAUCUUUCUUUACCAACACAUCUUCCAAAAAGGAAUCCUCAUUUGCUUAAGAUUAUCAAGCACAGACAGUUUUCAUAGAAGAUACUUUCAAAAAG